rnacentral:rRNA from 1 species
CAGCCGCCGCGGUAAUACGAAGGGUGCAAGCGUUAAUCGGAAUUACUGGGCGUAAAGCGUGCGCAGGCGGUGAGUUAAGUCUGCUGUGAAAUCCCCGGGCUCAACCUGGGAAUGGCAGUGGAUACUGGCUCGCUAGAGUGUGUCAGAGGAUGGUGGAAUUCCCGGUGUAGCGGUGAAAUGCGUAGAGAUCGGGAGGAACAUCAGUGGCGAAGGCGGCCAUCUGGGACAACACUGACGCUGAGGCACGAAAGCGUGGGGAGCAAACAGGAUUAGAUACCCCGGUAGUCCCUGUCUCUUAUAC